UCCCCAGUGGCACAACCGGUUAGCGCGCGGUACUUAUAAUGCCGAGGUUGUGAGUUCGGUCCUCACCUGGGGAA